rnacentral:rRNA from 1 species
GACGAACGCUGGCGGCGUGCUUAAUACAUGCAAGUCGAACGGACAGGCCCUGCUCUUGCUGCGUGCUCGUGUGGCGAACGGGUGAGUAAAACGUGAGUAUCCUGUCCCUGUCUUUGGGAUAACAUUACGAAACUGCGGCUAAUAUCGGAUAGGAGCUCUUGAUCCAUGGUGGGGGAUGGUAAGAUUCGGUGGUUGGGGCUGGACUCGCGGGUUACCCGCUUGUUUGGGGGGUAGUUGCUUUCCAAGGCUUUGACGGGUAGCCGGCCUGAGAGGGUGACCGGCCACAUUGGGACUGAGAGACGGCCCAGGCGGCUACGGGAGGCAACGGUGGGGAAGAUUGCAGAAUAAGCGGAAGCCAGAUGCAGCAGCGCCGCGUGCGGGAUAACGUCCUUCGGGUGGAAAACCAAUUUCGCAUGUGACGAAGCGUGAGUGACGGUAAUGGAUAAAGAAGCACCGGCUAACUACGUG